GUAGGAGGCGAGCGUUAUCCGGAAUGACUGGGCGUAAAGGGUGCGUAGGUGGUUUGGCAAGUUAGUAGCGUAACUCCAAGGCUCAACCUUGGAACUACUACUAAAACUGUUGGACUUGAGUGCAGGAGGGGCAACCGGAAUUCCUAGUGUAGCGGUGGAAUGCGUAGAUAUUAGGAGGAACACCAGUGGCAAAGGCGGGUUGCUAGACUGUAACUGACACUGAGGCACGAAAGCGUGGGGAGCAAA
rnacentral:rRNA from 1 species